rnacentral:sRNA from 1 species
AAGCACAGUCCGCUGCGGUCAACUGCACU